rnacentral:rRNA from 1 species
GAUGAACGCUGGCGGCGGGCCUAAUACAUGCAAGUCGAGCGAAGCGGGGGCGGGUGAGUAACACGUGGAUAACCUCCUAUAAGACUGGGGUAACUACGGGGAACCGGAGAUACAUCGGAUCCUUAGAGAUAGAUGUUAGCUGCAUUAGCUAGUUGGUAAGGUAACGGCUUACCAAGGCAACGAUGCAUAGCUGACCUGAGAGGUUGAUCAGCCACACUGGAAAGGAGACACGGUCCAGACUCCUACGGGAGGCAGCAGUAGGGAAUCUUCCGCAAUGGGCGAAAGCCUGACGGAGCCACGCCGCGUGAGUGAUGAAGGUCUUCGGAUCGUAAAACUCUGUUAGUAGGGAAGCGUUACCUACACAGAAAGCCACGGCUAACUACGUGCCAGCAGCCGCGGUAAUAC